rnacentral:rRNA from 1 species
UACGUAGGGACCAAGCGUUGUUCGGAUUUACUGGGCGUAAAGGGCGCGUAGGCGGCGUGACAAGUCACUUGUGAAAUCUCUGGGCUUAACCCAGAGCGGCCAAGUGAUACUGUCGUGCUAGAGUGCGGAAGGGGCAAUCGGAAUUCUCGGUGUAGCGGUGAAAUGCGUAGAUAUCGAGAGGAACACCUGAGGUGAAGACGGGUUGCUGGGCUGAUACUGACGCUGAGGCGCGAAAGCCAGGGGAGCGAACGGG